rnacentral:misc_RNA from 1 species
AUGGAAUAAAGAAUUUACUUUUCUUUUUUAAUAAAUAUUAUACAUUACAUUUACAACUGCAAAUAAAGAAUUCAGACAUUCAUCCUUGCUGUAAAACCUUGUCCCAAUUAAUGCCAAUGCGUUGGUCUAUGACCAAAACCGUGUUGCAAUUCAUGAUCCCCUAAUAAAUGCCUUCACCAUCGCCAUGAAAUUGAGCAUUCUCAAUAAGCCACUGCUACUGUCUACCGCCAAUGGCACGAUUAUUUGAGAAUCAAGCCUAUAUCACACACUGAGACUUGACAAAGCCCAACAGAUUUGAUGCAAAAUUUCCAAGCAAAACCUGAGUUCAUUUUUUAAAACCUCUAGCUUUGAGCCCAAUCAUCCAUAAUCAAAAAAGCAUUUACAUUUUCAAGCUUUCUCUUAAAUAUAUACAGCUGUGAUUAUCAUACUCAAGAUUCUGAGUUUCUGAGUAGAAACCCUCACCUAACAUGACAAUCAUAAGGAACAAUUACACGAUCUGGAACAAUGAGAGGCAAUUUAUCGAUGUACAUAAAAAGCCUCUUGCAAUUCUCUCUUGAAAUUAAGGAUAAAUCAACAGUAUCAGAUUUAUCUGUAUAGAUCCAGAGAUCACCAGAAUUGACCCUUUUAAGACUACCUCUGCAAAAGGGACACGAUUGAGACCGCUCACGCCAAUCCUGAUAGCAUUUCAAACACAAAGAAUGAAUGCAAUCGGGUAAUACAACCUUGCUGUUCAUCUCCAUGCAAAUUCCGCA